AGCGAACGCUGGCGGCAGGCCUAACACAUGCAAGUCGAACGAAGUCUUCGGACUUAGUGGCGGACGGGUGAGUAACACGUGGGAACGUGCCUUUAGGUUCGGAAUAACUCAGGGAAACUUGUGCUAAUACCGAAUGUGCCCUUCGGGGAAAGAUUUAUCGCCUUUAGAGCGGCCCGCGUCUGAUUAGCUAGUUGGUGAGGUAAAGGCUCACCAAGGCGACGAUCAGUAGCUGGUCUGAGAGGAUGAUCAGCCACAUUGGGACUGAGACACGGCCCAAACUCCUACGGGAGGCAGCAGUGGGGAAUCUUGCGCAAUGGGCGAAAGCCUGACGCAGCCAUGCCGCGUGAAUGAUGAGGGUCUUAGGAUUGUAAAAUUCUUUCACCGGGGACGAUAAUGACGGUACCCGGAGAAGAAGCCCCGGCUAACUUCGUGCCAGCCGCCGCGGUAA
rnacentral:rRNA from 1 species